rnacentral:tRNA from 1 species
UGUAGACAUAGUUUAACCAAAACACUGGAUUGUGAAUCCAGCAAUAGAACAUAAAACUUCUUGUCCACC